UGGCAACCCACUCCAGUACUCGUGCCUGGAAAAUUCCAUGGAUGGAGGAGCCUGGUACAGCCCAUGGGGUCGCAAAGAGUCAGACACGACUGAACAACUUCACUUUCACUUUCCAUUAUUAGAUAAUAAAAGAUACUGCUCGGAUGCCAUUUAAAUUUCUACAGUUUUUGUGUAGACAAGAGUUGAGGUUGGUUCUGCAAGUGACUUGGGAAAGGACUGGUAUAGUUUGAAAGCGCCAUUCCCGGAGCAGGAAGCAACCUACCCAGGAUACUCUGGCAUCUUAACCACAUCUAGUCUCAAUCGUAGUGACUAAUAUUCUGGAGCAUUGAUAGCUUCUGAGAUGCUUCCGUCUACUCCUUAAAAUGAUCCUUUGAAAGGGGGCGUUCUCCCUGUUUCCUGUGGGAGAGAACAGAGUGAAGCUCAGCUGCUGGCCGGGGAAGGUUUCUGAUGGACCUGCAUUGCACACGGGGGCAGCACUGCAGGGGAUUGUGGCAGCUGAGGUCAGGGGGCAAGAGCAGCCACCUUAGGGGGAGCAGGCUGGCAUCCAGGCUCCUGCGGCCGCUGCUCCGAGCUGGCUAUCCACGCGCUGUGUUCUGCGAGGACUGCGGUCAUCUGUGUGUCUGAGCCCCAGCUCGGCCCCGACUCCUCCACAACAAGCAGUUCCUUGUGGAGUGAUUGGAUAGAUGGUGGAUUUCCGAGUUACUUUGUUACCAAAAGUUAGUGUGUGCAAUUUUUGAAAUAUGAAGCAUUUUGCCAGGUACUCCGUAUUUCCUCCGUAUUUCCAGCACUUGUCCCUAGAUGCCUGGCUCCCACUCUAUUUACGUUGCAUCCUCCAGCAGCUGGGCCUCAGCAGGGCAGGCGGGGGGCAUCAUAUUUACUGUUACAGCCUGUUUGUCAAGCAACAGCGCCUGGUGCUUCAUAGGGGUCCAUGCAUAUUUAUUGAUUGAUGAUCAUUUACAGAGCUUCAUCAGAAAGAGAGUCUUCAUCAACACAUAUUUGAAGGCUUAAGAAGAAGGUAAAUGCAAUAACCCGUGUGAAACACAGAACUGUGCCGGACGCCUAGCUGACAAAGGGGACUGUUAGCCAUCGGCAUCUGCAGGCCGCUUACUUGCUAGAGACAGAAACAGGCCAGUCUCUGCCCUCAGGGAGCGUCUCAUCUAAAGAGACGACGAUGAUCCAUUUUUUUUAAGUUGAGGCUCUGCGGCACCCCUGCCUUAAGCGCGCCUGCUAUUGCCAUUUUUCCAGCAGCGUUUGGUCACUUCAUGUUCUGCGUCACUCUUGGGUAAUUCUCUCAAUAUUUCAGACUUUUUCCUGAUGCGUUACAGUGAUUUGUGAUCAGUGAUCUUUGUUGUUACUGUUGUAAUUGUUCUGGCAUUUUUUAGCAAUAAAAUAUUUUUAAAUUAA